rnacentral:rRNA from 1 species
AUGCAAAGUUUAAUACAUGAAGAAAGACAAGAAAAGAAUGCACGUCGAAGAGCGCGGCGGCAGAGUUUACCACCUGAGCAGAGGCAAUCAUUGCUAGAUCGGCGCAAGGCAAACUAUAUUGUUGGGCGAGACACGAUAUGUGCUGAAUCCAUCGCAAUGCGAUGCCCCGAGCUAGGUGCUUCAUCGUCAAGAAACCCAUCAUUGAGCACACCGGCAUCAACUGUUGGAGAUGGUACUAAAGUCCCAAUCUGUAUUAACUUUCUUCUAUUCAAAGAUUUAUUCCAUCGUAUUUACUUGCUCACCCAAAUACAGAUGCUCGAGAAAUGCUCCAUAAGGAUAUCAUGGAUAUGGACACCAUCCUUGAGUCUGGUGCUUCACCGCCGGCCAUUUCAUUUUUGA